UGGGGAAUAUUGGUCAAUGGGGGAAACCCUGAACCAGCAACGCCGCGUGAAGGAAGAAGGCUUUCGGGUUGUAAACUUCUUUGACAGGGGACGAAAGAAAUGACGGUACCCUGAAAACAAGCUACGGCCAACUACGUGCCAGCAGCCGCGGUAAUACGUAGGUAGCGAGCGUUGUCCGGAUUUACUGGGUGUAAAGGGCGUGUAGGCGGCGUGGUAAGUCAGAUGUGAAAUGUAGGGGCUCAACCCCUGAAUUGCAUUUGAAACUAUCGCGCUUGAGUGAUGGAGAGGCAGGCGGAAUUCCGUGUGUAGCGGUGAAAUGCGUAGAUAUACGGAGGAACACCAGUGGCGAAGGCGGCCUGCUGGACAUUAACUGACGCUGAGGCGCGAAAGCGUGGGGAGCAAACAGG
rnacentral:rRNA from 1 species